UAGAGUUUGAUCCUGGCUCAGAACUAACGCUGGUGGCGUGUCUUAGUCAUGCAAGUCGUACGCGAAAGCACCCUUCGGGGUGCAAGUAGAGUGGCGGACGGGUGAGUAACACGUGGGCAAUCUGCCUCUAGGUGGGGGACAACCCUUCUAACGAGGGGCUAAUACCGCAUGAUGCCUCGGUUUCGAAUGAAGCCGAGGUUAAAGGUGGCCUCUACCUGUAAGCUGUCGCCUAGAGAGGAGCCCGCGCUCCAUUAGCUUGUUGGUGAGGUAAUGGCUCACCAAGGCUAUGACGCCUAACUGGUUUGAGAGGAUGAUCAGUCACACUGGAACUGAGACACGGUCCAGACUCCUACGGGAGGCAGCAGUGGGGAAUAUUGCACAAUGGACGAAAGUCUGAUGCAGCAACGCCGCGUGGAGGAUGACACAUUUCGGUGCGUAAACUCCUUUUAUAUGAGAAGAAAAUGACGGUAUCAUAUGAAUAAGCGCCGGCUAACUCCGUGCCAGCAGCCGCGGUAAUACGGAGGGCGCAAGCGUUACUCGGAAUCACUGGGCGUAAAGAGCGUGUAGGCGGGUAUUUAAGUUGGAAGUGAAAUCCUAUGGCUCAACCAUAGAACUGCUUCCAAAACUGAAUACCUAGAAUAUGGGAGAGGUAGAUGGAAUUUCUGGUGUAAGGGGUAAAAUCCGUAGAGAUCAGAAGGAAUACCGAUUGCGAAGGCGAUCUACUGGAACAUUAUUGACGCUGAGACGCGAAAGCGUGGGGAGCAAAACAGGAUUAGAUACCCUGGUAGUCCACGCCCUAAACGAUGUACAUUAGUUGUUGCGAUGCUAGACAUUGCAGUAAUGCAGUUAACACAUUAAAUGUACCGCCUGGGGAGUACGGUCGCAAGAUUAAAACUCAAAGGAAUAGACGGGGACCCGCACAAGCGGUGGAGCAUGUGGUUUAAUUCGACGAUACGCGAAGAACCUUACCUGGCCUUGACAUAGAAAGAAUUUAGCAGAGAUGUAAAAGUGCUAGUUUACUAGAGCUUUCAUACAGGUGCUGCACGGCUGUCGUCAGCUCGUGUCGUGAGAUGUUAGGUUAAGUCCUGCAACGAGCGCAACCCUCGUGUUUAGUUACUAACAGUUCGGCUGAGGACUCUAGACAUACUGCCUGGGCAACCAGGAGGAAGGUGAGGACGACGUCAAGUCAUCAUGGCCCUUACGGCCAGGGCUACACACGUGCUACAAUGGGGUAUACAAAGAGCCGCAAUACCGCGAGGUGGAGCAAAUCUCAUAAAAUAUCUCCCAGUUCGGAUUACACUCUGCAACUCGAGUGUAUGAAGUUGGAAUCGCUAGUAAUCGUAGAUCAGCAAUGCUACGGUGAAUACGUUCCCGGGUCUUGUACUCACCGCCCGUCACACCAUGGGAGUUGAAUUCAUUCGAAGCGGGGAUGCUAAAAUAGCUACCUUCCACAGUGGAUUUAGUAACUAGGGUGAAGUCGUAACAAGGUAACCA
rnacentral:rRNA from 1 species